rnacentral:rRNA from 1 species
UGAGUAACACGUGGGUAACCUGCCUGUAAGACUGGGAUAACUCCGGGAAACCGGGGCUAAUACCGGAUGGUUGUUUGAACCGCAUGGUUCAGACAUAAAAGGUGGCUUCGGCUACCACUUACAGAUGGACCCGCGGCGCAUUAGCUAGUUGGUGAGGUAACGGCUCACCAAGGCGACGAUGCGUAGCCGACCUGAGAGGGUGAUCGGCCACACUGGGACUGAGACACGGCCCAGACUCCUACGGGAGGCAGCAGUAGGGAAUCUUCCGCAAUGGACGAAAGUCUGACGGAGCAACGCCGCGUGAGUGAUGAAGGUUUUCGGAUCGUAAAGCUCUGUUGUUAGGGAAGAACAAGUGCCGUUCAAAUAGGGCGGCACCUUGACGGUACCUAACCAGAAAGCCACGGCUAACUACGUGCCAGCAGCCGCGGUAAUACGUAGGUGGCAAGCGUUGUCCGGAAUUAUUGGGCGUAAAGGGCUCGCAGGCGGUUUCUUAAGUCUGAUGUGAAAGCCCCCGGCUCAACCGGGGAGGGUCAUUGGAAACUGGGGAACUUGAGUGCAGAAGAGGAGAGUGGAAUUCCACGUGUAGCGGUGAAAUGCGUAGAGAUGUGGAGGAACACCAGUGGCGAAGGCGACUCUCUGGUCUGUAACUGACGCUGAGGAGCGAAAGCGUGGGGAGCGAACAGGAUUAGAUACCCUGGUAGUCCACGCCGUAAACGAUGAGUGCUAAGUGUUAGGGGGUUUCCGCCCCUUAGUGCUGCAGCUAACGCAUUAAGCACUCCGCCUGGGGGAGUACGGUCGCAAGACUGAAACUCAAAGGAAUUGACGGGGGCCCGCACAAGCGGUGGAACAUGUGGUUUAAUUCGAAGCAACGCGAAGAAACCUUACCAGGGUCUUGACAUCCUUCUGACAAUCCUAGAGAUAGGAACGU